rnacentral:misc_RNA from 1 species
UCUCUCUCUCUCUCUCUCUAGAGAAACCGAUAGCGUGAGUAUAGUGGAUAAUCUAUGCAGUGUUUUGUUUUCUUAUAUGUUGGAAUCUAGUCUCAUGAGUAGAGUGGGUUUGUAUUGAUGAGAGAUGGAGAAUUUAUUGACAUAACUUGUAUUGUUACAUUGUUAGGCUUCUAAUUGACAUGGUGAUUUCUGUUGUAGUUGUGUGUAAAAACUUUAUUGGAAAUCUAUUAGUUUUGGCCCUUUAAAUUAAGUUGGAUUUCGCUCAAGUUUAAGUCUGCCAUUUUCUAUUAUCUUAUGAUUUUGAGGGAAAUCCAGUGUUAGGUCCUUCUUAUACGGUAGGUUAACCCUUCUGGAAUUUAAAAUUUAACGCCACUUCAAAUUUGCUCAAGCUUUUAUUUUAUUUGAUCACAUAUUUUUUGUAAUGUACUGUUAUGUCAUCUUGCAAUUCAUACUUAUUUUUAGUGAUAGCACGAAUAUUUUUUCAAAUCAGUCGUUUACUCUUUAACUGUUAUGGGCUUUGGAGGCAGUGAUUGGUGAGGUACUGGUACAUGUUAUCUAUUUUAGUGGUUGUUGUUGUUGCAAUCUCAUCUAUUGAAAUACUGGUACACAUGCAGUGCAUCUGCGUCCAAACGUCAUGUCCAAACGUCAUAUAUUCUUCACUUAUGUUUGAUAUUCAUUUUU